UUCUAUGGAGAGUUUGAUCCUGGCUCAGGACGAACGCUGGCGGCGUGCUUAACACAUGCAAGUCGAGCGAUGAAGCACCUUCGGGUGUGAAUUAGCGGCGAAC
rnacentral:rRNA from 1 species